AUACGUAGGGAGAGAGCGUUGUCCGGAAUUACUGGGUGUAAAGGGUGCGUAGGCGGGGAUGCAAGUCAGAUGGGAAAUGUAUGGGCUCAAACCAUGAACUGCAUUUGACAAUGCAACUCAUGAGUGAGGUAGAGGUUAGCGGAAUUCCUCGUGGAGCGGUGAAAUGCGUAGAUAUUAGGAGGAACAUCGGUGGCGAAGGCGGCUUACUGGGCCUAUACUGACGCUGAGGCACGAAAGCGUGGGGAGCAAACAGGAUUAGAUACCCUGGUAGUCCACGCUGUAAACGAUGAUGACUAGGUGUGGGGGGACUGAACCCUUCCGUGCCGCAGUUAACUCAAUAAGUCAUCCACCUGGGGAGUACGACCGCAAGGUUGAAACUCAAAUGAAUUGACGGGG
rnacentral:rRNA from 1 species